rfam:Schistocephalus solidus strain NST_G2 genome assembly, scaffold: SSLN_scaffold0001586
GGUUCCUCGUGGCUCAUUUGGCUGGAGCUUUGGCUGUACCAAAGCCUUCCCCUUGCUUGUGUGGGUUCGAAUCCCACCGAGGCCA